UACGUAGGAUCCAAGCGUUGUCCGGAUUUAUUGGGUUUAAAGGGUGCGCAGGCGGCUCAAUAAGUCAGUGGUGAAAGCCGGCAGCUUAACUGUCGAAUUGCCAUUGAUACUGUUGAGCUUGAGUAUAGUUGAGGUUGGCGGAAUGUAUCAUGUAGCGGUGAAAUGCUUAGAUAUGAUACAGAACACCGAUUGCGAAGGCAGCUGACUAAGCUAUUACUGACGCUCAUGCACGAAAGCGUGGGGAUCAAACAGG
rnacentral:rRNA from 1 species